CCUACGGGUGGCUGCAGUGAGGAAUAUUGGUCAAUGGACGAGAGCCUGAACCAGCCAAGUAGCGUGAAGGAUGACUGCCCUAUGGGUUGUAAACUUCUUUUAUAUGGGAAUAAAAUGUUCCACGUGUGGGAUUUUGCAUGUACCAUAUGAAUAAGGAUCGGCUAACUCCGUGCCAGCAGCCGCGGUAAUACGGAGGAUCCGAGCGUUAUCCGGAUUUAUUGGGUUUAAAGGGAGCGUAGGCGGAUUGUUAAGUCAGUUGUGAAAGGUUGCGGCUCAACCGUAAAAUUGCAGUUGAAAAUGGCAGUCUUGAGUACAGUAGAGGUAGGCGGAAUUCGUGGUGUAGCGGUGAAAUGCUUAGAUAUCACGAAGAACUCCGAUUGCGAAGGCAGCUCACUGGACUGCAACUGACACUGAGGCUCGAAAGUGUGGGUAUCAAACAGGAUUAGAUACCCGGGUAGUC
rnacentral:rRNA from 1 species